GAUGAACGCUGGCGGCGUGCCUAAUACAUGCAAGUAGAACGCUGAAGGAGGAGCUUGCUCUUCUGGAUGAGUUGCGAACGGGUGAGUAACGCGUAGGUAACCUGCCUGGUAGCGGGGGAUAACUAUUGGAAACGAUAGCUAAUACCGCAUGACAACAGUUAUUGCAUGAUAACUGUUUAAAAGGGGCAACUGCUCCACUACCAGAUGGACCUGCGUUGUAUUAGCUAGUUGGUGAGGUAACGGCUCACCAAGGCGACGAUACAUAGCCGACCUGAGAGGGUGAUCGGCCACACUGGGACUGAGACACGGCCCAGACUCCUACGGGAGGCAGCAGGAGGGAAUCUUCGGCAAUGGACGGAAGUCUGACCGAGCAACGCCGCGUGAGUGAAGAAGGUUUUCGGAUCGUAAAGCUCGGUUGUAAGAGAAGAACGAGUGUGAGAGUGGAAAGUUCACACUGUGACGGUAUCUUACCAGAAAGGGACGGCUAACUACGUG
rnacentral:rRNA from 1 species